rnacentral:rRNA from 1 species
GACGAACGCUGGCGGCGUGCUUAACACAUGCAAGUCGAACGGAAAGGCCCUGCUUUUGCUGGUUUCUCGAGUGGCGAACGGGUGAGUAACACGUGAGUAUCCUCCCCUUGACUUUGGGAUAUCUCCAGGAAACUGCGGCUCAUACCGGAUAUGAGCUCCUGCUCCAUGUUGUGGGUUGGUAAGUUUCGGUGGUUGGGGCUGGACUCGCGGCUUAUCCGCUUGUUUGUGGGGUAGUGGCUGACCAAGGCUUUGACGGGUAGCCGGCCUGAGAGGGUGACCGGCGACAAUGGGACUAAGAGACGGCCCAGAAGCCUACGGGAGGCAGCAGGGGGGAAUAUUGCGGAAUGGGCGGAAGCCUGAGGCAGAAACGCUGCGAGCGGGAUGACGGCCUUCGGGUUGUAAACCGAUUUCGAAUGUGACGAAGAGGGAGUGACGGUAAUGGGUAAAGAAGCACCGGCUAACUACGUG